rnacentral:rRNA from 1 species
UUGGAUUUCUGUUAAUAAUUUAUAUAAUAUAUUUUGAUGAAUAUUUAUAUAAUAUUAACAUAAUUCAUAUUACUAUUUUUUUUUAGUAUAUGAAAUUUUACUUUGAGAAAAUUAGAGUGCUUAAAGCAGGCAUAUGCCUUGAAUACUCCAGCAUGGAAUAAUAUUAAAGAUUUUUAUCUUUUUUAUUGGUUCUAAGAUAAGAAUAAUGAUUAAUAGGGACAGUUGGGGGCAUUUGUAUUUAACAGUCAGAGGUGAAAUUCUUAGAUUUGUUAAAGACAAACUAAUGCGAAAGCAUUUGCCAAGGAUGUUUUCAUUAAUCAAGAACGAAAGUUAGGGGAUCGAAGACGAUCAGAUACCGUCGUAGUCUUAACCAUAAACUAUGCCAACUAGAGAUUGGAGGUUGUUCCUUACUCCUUC